GUCUUUCUAGUAUUGAAUUAGUACAAGUGACUUCCAAUCAUUUAGUCUUGGUUAAACCCCAGGGAAAGAUA
rnacentral:tRNA from 1 species